CUUCGGUGAUGAUACGAUGACGAGUCAGAGAGGGAGCCUGGAGCCGAGCGCUCUGUUCAGCGGCACGUUCUGUGUCUCUGGACUCGGUUGCUCUGCCGGCGCUGCCCUCCGUACUGAUCGAACUUGAGGCAUUUGUCUGAGAAGG